AGAGUUUGAUCCUGGCUCAGAGCGAACGCUGGCGGCAGGCCUAACACAUGCAAGUCGAGCGCCGUAGCAAUACGGAGCGGCAGACGGGAGAGUAACACGUGGGAACGUACCCUUCAGUUCGGAACAACCCAGGGAAACUUGGGCUAAUACCGGAUACGUCCGUAAGGAGAAAGAUUUAUCGCUGAAGGAUCGGCCCGCGUCUGAUUAGCUAGUUGGUGAGGUAACGGCCCACCAAGGCUACGAUCAGUAGCUGGUCUGAGAGGAUGAUCAGCCUCACUGGGACUGAGACACGGCCCAGACUCCUACGGGAGGCAGCAGUGGGGAAUAUUGGACAAUGGGCGCAAGCCUGAUCCAGCCAUGCCGCGUGGGUGAUGAAGGCCCUAGGGUUGUAAAGCCCUUUCGGCGGGGAAGAUAAUGACGGUACCCGCAGAAGAAGCCCCGGCUAACUUCGUGCCAGCAGCCGCGGUAAUACGAAGGGGGCUAGCGUUGCUCGGAAUCACUGGGCGUAAAGCGCACGUAGGCGGCUUUUUAAGUCAGGGGUGAAAUCCUGGAGCUCAACUCCAGAACUGCCUUUGAUACUGAGGAGCUUGAGUCCGGGAGAGGUGAGUGGAACUGCGAGUGUAGAGGUGAAAUUCGUAGAUAUUCGCAAGAACACCAGUGGCGAAGGCGGCUCACUGGCCCGGUACUGACGCUGAGGUGCGAAAGCGUGGGGAGCAAACAGGAUUAGAUACCCUAGUAGUCC
rnacentral:rRNA from 1 species